UGUGGUUGUAACUCAGUGGUAGAGUACCUGCCUAGAAUGUAUGAGGCACUGGGUUCAAUUCUCAGCACUGCAA
rnacentral:tRNA from 1 species